rnacentral:rRNA from 1 species
CCCAUAAGCGGAGGAAAAGAAACCAACUGGGAUUACCUUAGUAACGGCGAGUGAAGCGGUAAAAGCUCAAAUUUGAAAUCUGGUACUUUCAGUGCCCGAGUUGUAAUUUGUAGAAUUUGUCUUUGAUUAGGUCCUUGUCUAUGUUCCUUGGAACAGGACGUCAUAGAGGGUGAGAAUCCCGUUUGGCGAGGAUACCUUUUCUCUGUAAGACUUUUUCGAAGAGUCGAGUUGUUUGGGAAUGCAGCUCAAAGUGGGUGGUAAAUUCCAUCUAAAGCUAAAUAUUGGCGAGAGACCGAUAGCGAACAAGUACAGUGAUGGAAAGAUGAAAAGAACUUUGAAAAGAGAGUGAAAAAGUACGUGAAAUUGUUGAAAGGGAAGGGCAUUUGAUCAGACAUGGUGUUUUUUGCAUGCACUCGCCUCUCGUGGGCUUGGGCCUCUCAAAAAUUUCACUGGGCCAACAUCAAUUCUGGCAGCAGGAUAAAUCAUUAAGAAUGUAGCUACUUCGGUAGUGUUAUAGCUUUUUGGAAUACUGUUAGCCGGGAUUGAGGACUGCGCUUCGGCAAGGAUGUUGGCAUAAUGGUUAAAUGCCGCCCGUCUUG